UGGGGAAUUUUGGACAAUGGGCGAAAGCCUGAUCCAGCAAUGCCGCGUGUGUGAAGAAGGCCUUCGGGUUGUAAAGCACUUUUGUCCGGAAAGAAAUGGCUCUGGUUAAUACCUGGGGCCGAUGACGGUACCGGAAGAAUAAGGACCGGCUAACUACGUGCCAGCAGCCGCGGUAAUACGUAGGGUCCAAGCGUUAAUCGGAAUUACUGGGCGUAAAGCGUGCGCAGGCGGUUGUGCAAGACCGAUGUGAAAUCCCCGAGCUUAACUUGGGAAUUGCAUUGGUGACUGCACGGCUAGAGUGUGUCAGAGGGGGGUAGAAUUCCACGUGUAGCAGUGAAAUGCGUAGAGAUGUGGAGGAAUACCGAUGGCGAAGGCAGCCCCCUGGGAUAACACUGACGCUCAUGCACGAAAGCGUGGGGAGCAAACAGG
rnacentral:rRNA from 2 species